GCCCGAGUGGCGGAACGGUAGACGCAGCGGAUUCAAAAUCCGUCGCCGCAAGGCAUGCGAGUUCGAGUCUCGCCUCGGGCACCA
rnacentral:tRNA from 1 species